GAUGAACGCUGGCGGCGUGCCUAAUACAUGCAAGUCGAGCGAACAGAUGAGGAGCUUGCUCCUCUGACGUUAGCGGCGGGCGGGUGAGUAACACGUGGAUAACCUACCUAUAAGACUGGGAUAACUUCGGGAAACCGGAGCUAAUACCGGAUAAUAUAUUGAACCGCAUGGUUCAAUAGUGAAAGACGGUUUUGCUGUCACUUAUAGAUGGAUCCGCGCCGCAUUAGCUAGUUGGUAAGGUAACGGCUUACCAAGGCAACGAUGCGUAGCCGACCUGAGAGGGUGAUCGGCCACACUGGAACUGAGACACGGUCCAGACUCCUACGGGAGGCAGCAGUAGGGAAUCUUCCGCAAUGGGGGAAAGCCUGACGGAGCAACGCCGCGUGAGUGAUGAAGGUCUUCGGAUCGUAAAACUCUGUUAUUAGGGAAGAACAAAUGUGUAAGUAACUAUGCACGUCUUGACGGUACCUAAUCAGAAAGCCACGGCUAACUACGUG
rnacentral:rRNA from 1 species